ACCUGGGUGGCUCAGUCGGUUAAGCGUCUGACUUCAGCUCAGGUCACGAUCUCACGGUUUGUGGGUUCGUGGGUUCGAGCCCCGUGUCAGGCU
rnacentral:tRNA from 1 species